GAUUGUACGCUGGCGGCGGGCUUAUACAUGCAAGUCGACGCGGUAGCACAGGGGAGCUUGCUCCCUGGGUGACGAGCGGCGGACGGGUGAGUAAUGUCUGGGAAACUGCCUGAUGGAGGGGGAUAACUACUGGAAACGGUAGCUAAUACCGCAUAACGUCGCAAGACCAAAGAGGGGGACCUUCGGGCCUCUUGCCAUCAGAUGUGCCCAGAUGGGAUUAGCUAGUAGGUGGGGUAAUGGCUCACCUAGGCGACGAUCCCUAGCUGGUCUGAGAGGAUGACCAGCCACACUGGAACUGAGACACGGUCCAGACUCCUACGGGAGGCAGCAGUGGGGAAUAUUGCACAAUGGGCGCAAGCCUGAUGCAGCCAUGCCGCGUGUGUGAAGAAGGCCUUCGGGUUGUAAAGCACUUUCAGCGAGGAGGAAGGUGGUGAGCUUAAUACGCUCAUCAAUUGACGUUACUCGCAGAAGAAGCACCGGCUAACUCCGUGCCAGCAGCCGCGGUAAUACGGAGGGUGCAAGCGUUAAUCGGAAUUACUGGGCGUAAAGCGCACGCAGGCGGUUUGUUAAGUCAGAUGUGAAAUCCCCGGGCUCACCUGGGAACUGCAUUUGAAACUGGCAAGCUAGAGUCUCGUAGAGGGGGGGUAGAAUUCCAGGUGUACCGGUGAAAUGCGUAGAGAUCUGGAGGAAUACCGGUGGCGAGGAAGCCCCCUGUACUACAACUGACGCUCUGGUGCGAAACGUGUGGAGCAAACAGGAGGAGAUCCCCUGGCGGUCCCCCCUGUCAACAUGUCAAUUAGAUGUUGGCGCCCUUCAUGGAGGCCUCCCCCACUAAAAAAUUAUUGAUCCCCUGGUGGAAGCGGCCCCAGGUUGGAGCCCAUUAAUUUUAUGGUGCUGCCCAACCGCGGGGCGGGGGUGUAAAUCUAUAAUAUGAAGAAACUUAGUACC
rnacentral:rRNA from 1 species